rnacentral:lncRNA from 1 species
GUUAAUGUCGGUAGGCUAUUGAGUCACUUUUGAGGAUACAAUUAUCGAACGCUUGUUCAUUCUUGUGCAUUUGAAGCUUUGGGCUCUUGUUUUAUCUAUGCAGAGAAUGAGCUCUUUUAAGUUUAUGGGAACUUUGGAUCAUUCUUUUUGUCAUAGGUUGGCUGAUAUCUGUCACAAUAGAGGACUAUUUGGCAGGGUUGUUUACGGUCCAGUUUAGUUGGUUAUGACUUGUGAGAGGAAUUCUGGGUCAAACUGUCAACUAUAGCUUCAAAAAAUAGCAAAUCAAAACAGCUGGGUUGGUUGAAUUGGAUAGACCAGGCGAAUCGAGUUCUGUUUGAUGGUUUGAAAUGAACUUAAUUAUAAAUUGUUGGUUUGUAUCGAAUUUUUUGAAAUGAUAUACAUGGUUUACAAGUUAAAUGGGGUAAGGUUCAUGCGAGAACCACCUUUAUUGCGAGAAUCGCGAGAACCAAUGUGAACACAACCUAAAAUAGCUAAAAAAAACCUAACCCACACCCCGCCCCCCCCCAAAAAAAAAAAAAAAAAA